UCUGAAGGGAGUGAAAACAACACUGUUGUUUUCUUGUUGAUGCAUCUGAUUUGAAGGUGAGGAUUUCAUAUUUCCUAGUGCAUGUCAAACUUAAGCACAUUCUUGAGAGUGCCACAAUACCCUACAUGUUUUUCGAUCCGUCAAUGGGAAAAUUCAUUGAAAUAAGGUACUUCAAGGGGUGCCUGAACCCGAUAAAUACCCGAUACAAAAAAGAAACCGAAAUGAGAUUAGGUCACCCAAAGAGAAGAAAAAAAUGGCCAAACUAGUAAGAAUCUAUAACCCUUGCUACCUUACGCCUCAAAAUCAUAAAGAUUCCGUAAAGCUAUCACCAGGUUUACAAGUACAAUUCUUACAAUUCUAUACAACAAAUGUACCUGCAACUCUACUUAUUCUUGUUUUUAUUAUUUUGUAGCUCAAUUUAUUUUUCAGAAAAUGUGCUAUUUGGCCAAAAGGGUUCUUUUCCUGGUUCAGAUGGACGGAUAAACUUUUUCUUUGGGUCAAAAGGACGGGACAUUUUUUUAAUAGAAACAGAUAAAAAUGCCCUUACAAACUUCAUCUUCCUCCAAAAACAUGUUUAAGAAAGAACAUCGACCUUCUUCUUCACCACCUUUAUCUUCCUCCACCAUCCCCACUUCCACAAAAUACCAGCGCCACCAUCAAAAAAACAUAACCCUUUUCCGCCUUCAUCAUCGACACCAUCAAUAUCAUCUCCUCUACCGCAAACAGCAACACCACCAUCGAUAACAUCAAUUUUCUCUAUUACCAACAUCGACACCACUGCCACCAUCUCCACCACCUCAAACUCCAUCGUCGUCGAUCAUAUCGCGUUUCCCUCAAAACCAUCAUCGACACCACAACCACCACCAUCAUCCAAAAAGAAUUUUCUAAUGCCCUAAUUUAAUUGAAUUUUCUCAAAUUCAUAAAUUAAGAGAGUUAACAUUUUGUGUUAAUUGAUGAAUUUCCUCAAAUUGGAAUCAAAAGCGGGACAAGAGUCAACCGGAUGUGAAUUGGAUGCUCAGGCUAAUAACUUUAAAUGGACUAUUAGCCAACCAAAAAAAAAAAGAAAAAAAAAAGAAAGAAAGAGGGAUAAGACUGUUGGUGGAUCAAGAAAACUAAAAUAGCAAGAUGUAAAGGUUAUUGCUCAAUCAAAUUGAAAACUAGACACGAGGUGAACUUUGUUGAUGAAUCAAGAACGCAAAAUUGGCGUGAUGUGAUUAACUGCAAGAACUAAGACUAUUUGGCUCGGUUGAUUUGUUUAGCACAAGGUUGCCAACAAAAAAAAGUUAUUCUUGUAGUUUUUUUUUUAUCA